rnacentral:lncRNA from 1 species
GAUCAAUAUAGACCACCUCAUACAUUAUGUCCAGCCAGAGGAGAGGGUCCCUGCCAAACUAAGAAAGGUGUUAGUUUCCUCUCCUCUGGCUGGUCCAUCACAUACAGAUACACAACAGAUACACACACAGCACACAUGCACACACAUCCUCUGGGACACGAGGCUGCCAAAAAGCCCCAAGACCUUCACAGGAUACAGAACACUUAAUCAGGGACAUAUGGGCAGGUGGCCGAGCAGAGACCCUAUGGUCCAAGGUUGGGCCAUACAAGGUCUUUUCUGGAACAUUACAACACCUGGCCCCAGGAAAGGAGUUGGAGACGGAGGUAAUCUCUUGUUUUAAGUGCUCAUUGUUGUUUGAAUAUUUUUCUCUCAGUUAACCAAAUGUAGAGUUGUCACUCUUGUACUCACAGAUUGUCAAUGCAUAUCUACUGAUUAUCUGUAACAAGACGGGCACACAAAUGGUAGACUCUUUCGCCAUGUCUGACGUCUGGCAGAGAUCCCAGAGACGAUAUAAAAGACUGGAUCUUGUCAACCACGACGUGGCAGCUGGAGCUGUAUGUCAUCAGGGACACUGGACUCUUACUGUGAGUAAUUGUUAACUGAGUGGAUACAAAUCAUGUGACUGUCCGGUGUACAAGUGGAUGGCUGUAAUCAUCAUUUGCAUUUCCAUGUAUAAUGUAUCUGAGGGAAAACAGAGCCCUGUAUGUGGACCCAUUUUCGGCAACAAAACAACAAGUGGACCAAUGCAGGGAUGUGACAAGAGCACUUGUUCGUAGACAUUGUCCAGCCAUCGGACGAUGGGCCUGCUCCACAUUGGACCACCUGAGGCAGCUGGACUCCACAUCAUGUGCUUGCAGAGCAGAUCAUGCUGGAGGGAAAGAUAGACUACCCUGUGGACCAGCAGAGUGUGAACCGCAUGAGACUCGAAAUGGCAACGGCCCUGAUGACUAACGAUGAUGACCUGUCGGCGCUGUGUCGGGCUUGUGGGGAGGAGAGCUCAGGGGCUGAUGUGGAUGAGUGGGUAAGAGUGAAUUUUCAUGUUGACUGACAACUAAAUGGAACAUGGGGAUCCACCCUGGAUAGGUUACCUCCACAACACUGGGUGAACUGUCCCUAUCUAUCACACGGCUACUGAAAAUGCAUAGUUUCAUUAUACUCACUUGCAUGUCUUUGCACUUCCUGAGGACACUGAUGCUGCUGAAGGAACACUGACUCCACACUGACAGGACCGACCCAAGCUAGGGUUUUAAACCCAAAUCUAGCACACAUUGUCACAAUAUCUUGAACAGUGACACACAGUAUUGAUGUGUACUCGGUGUUAGACUACUUAAUUCAUUGUACACACCCUUCUCUGACUGUGACGCUUACCUGUUUACCAAAAUCUGACAUCUGUUUUUCUGUUUCCCUUUCAGAUUAAGUGCACCACAUGCAGCAUGUGGUAUCACACGACAUGUGUUGGUCAUCCCUCGACUGAGGGGGACUACUUUUGUAAAGGCUGUAACAGCCUAUAGUCAUUUUAGUCUGCCAAUAAACAUGUGCAGCUGUCACGGCCCUAGUGGGGUGCCUGUGUCUCUACUCCCUCAUGGGGGUGCAGAGUUCCACCAGGGCACCAGGUGUCUCUCUAUUAUUGUUUUCCAGGCUGAGUCCAGAGAGGAAGCAGAGCUGGCUGCUGAUUGGCUUACACCAAGGGCCCAAUGAAGCCUAACUUUUAAAUCUGAGGAGCUGCCAGUUUUCUCUCUCUCUCCACCCUGAUGCAGGCUCUCUGCUUGGUGCCUGCCUGAUUGCAGGCCACAUGCUGGCUGAGCUCUUGGUUCAUUCAGUUGUUUUAUUCUUCAUUUUCCUUAGUUUGUAGAUCUACAGCAGUUGUACAGUUAUUUUGUAAAUAAAUUCUUCAUUGUUAUCUUGCAACCCCUUGUGUGUUCUCCCAUUUUUGUCCAGUUUCUGAGCCAGACUGUGACACAGCAUACACACAUAAUUGUAUCUGUUCUAUCAAGUUGUGAUUAAUUGAAUGAUGCUGAGUUAAUAUCAUUGUGAUUAAUGCUCAAGCUCGAGGUUUGGUCGCUUAUGUGGCUGAGGACAAAAAAGAAACAUUAACUCACACUGAAAUAGACUGAAAUAUAAUUUGUACUGUAUUUAAUUUUUGUUCCUUAGUGAUUUUUAAAUCCAGGCUGCUGCUAUGUGUUCAAUGCAGCUACUUUUUAUAAAUUUUCACAAACACAGGGAGGACUUAAGGAAAUCUGCAUAUAAAGUUCUGUAUUGUUACUGUUUCUAUCUAUUGUAGGUCCUUUUAUUUCAUAAAUGCAAUGAAACAUGGCAUCAUGGAAAUGCACGAUUAAGAACCCUAAACUGUAAGCAUAAGUAAAGUUGCCACAUCAUGUGAAAAUUCAAAUGAAUACUCAUUAAGGCCCAUUAAUACUCCUGAUAGGCUUAGUUAGACUUCUGGACUGCGUUACCUUCAUUAUAAGACACAAAUGUGUUUUGCGGCCCCAGACAUAUUUUUUUGUGGCAAGGGACGGGGGACAAAAUAGCUCUUUUAAGGUAAAGGGUGCUGACACCUGCCCUAACUUCUGGUGAGGAGUUGACCUUCCUUCUGAUAUCCAUCGUUAUACCUUGAGAAGAGUGAGACACAUGUCUGGGCUUUCCUAAGAACCACGGUCGAUACAGGUGUUUGUAUCACAGGUUGAUCUGGGCGUCUCAGGCUUUGCCUCAGCUGACCUGCUGAGUUCGGGCUGGAUGUCAACGUACUCUGCAGACUGUUUGACGAGCAGGCUGUGACAGUGUAUACAGUUAGUUUUCACAUCGACUUGGCUUAAGCUUAAUAACGAUGUAUGCGGCUGGGAACGAUUACUUUAAUUAACCAUUUGAACGCAGUGCAGAAUGAAAUAAAUACCCGAUGAUAACAGUGUCACAAGUUAACCUGGACGCUGCGCACUCAGCGCCACAGCGAACAGCGGUCUCGAAGCUGCUCUCAAACUCAAUCGGCGUGAACAAAUGCCUCCGACUGUUCCACCCACCAGCUGUGUGUAAGUACAGACAUUCACGCCAAAGAUAUAAGACCGACAACAUGCACUUUUGUACGAUUUAUUGACAGUUGUGUUUUUUUUGGACAGGCAUCGACACAGUCACCUACACUGUCACUGUGCUCUAUAGCACUC